rnacentral:rRNA from 1 species
AUUGAACGCUGGCGGCAGGCUUAACACAUGCAAGUCGAGCGGAGCGAGGGUGCUUGCACCUUAGCUUAGCGGCGGACGGGUGAGUAAUGCUUAGGAAUCUGCCUGUUAGUGGGGGACAACAUUCCGAAAGGAAUGCUAAUACCGCAUACGCCCUACGGGGGAAAGCAGGGGAUCUUCGGACCUUGCGCUAAUAGAUGAGCCUAAGUCGGAUUAGCUAGUUGGUGGGGUAAAGGCCUACCAAGGCGACGAUCUGUAGCGGGUCUGAGAGGAUGAUCCGCCACACUGGGACUGAGACACGGCCCAGACUCCUACGGGAGGCAGCAGUGGGGAAUAUUGGACAAUGGGGGAAACCCUGAUCCAGCCAUGCCGCGUGUGUGAAGAAGGCCUUAUGGUUGUAAAGCACUUUAAGCGAGGAGGAGGCUACUGAGACUAAUACUCUUGGAUAGUGGACGUUACUCGCAGAAUAAGCACCGGCUAACUCUGUGCCAGCCGCCGCGGUAACAC